rnacentral:lncRNA from 1 species
AUGAAACUGAGGAACACACCACAUUUCCAGGUGGUUAAGUGUUUGGUGGCUGGGGGAGUUGUUGGUGGAAGGAUGAGUUUCCAAGCCUCAUGUUCCUCUUCUGUUAAAAUGGAAUCCUCUCUGAAGAUUAUCUAUUUUAUCAUCUUAAAAAGACAUCUUCAUGGAUAUGAAACUGGACGCAGAGUUGACGCUGAAGUUCAGCUGCUGAGUCAUCUUCCAUUUCUAGAGACUGCUCGAUUUCCUGCUAAACACACUUGGGGCUUCUUCCUGGAGAGGAGCAACUGGUUCAGAGCAGCGGGGGUGGGCAGCGUCUCAGCCAUGAGGAAGCCGAGAAGCGGAUGUCUGCCUCCCCUCCUCCCUCCCAGAGGACCUGGAUGUGAAACUAACCCAGAGUGGACGCUGAAGCUCAGCUGCCAAGUAAUCUCCCAUUCCCAGAGAGACUGCACAGCUUCCUGCUCAAUGCCAGGUGGGGCUUCAUCCUGGAGAGGAGCAACAGACAUUUUCAUGGAUAUGAAAUUGGACACCGAGUUCACACGGAAGUUCAGCUGCUGGGUAAUCUUCCAUUUCUGGGGACUGCUCUGCUUCCUGGUAAAACCCAGCUGUGCCUUCACCCUGGACAGGAGCAGCUGGUUAGUAGUACAUGUGGCUGUGUCCUGUUGA